UACAGAGGGGGGCAAGCGUUGUUCGGAAUUACUGGGCGUAAAGGGCGCGUAGGCGGCCAACUAAGUCAGACGUGAAAUCCCCAGGCUCAACCUGGGAACUGCGUCUGAUACUGGAUGGCUCGAGUUCGGGAGAGGGAAGUGGAAUUCCAGGUGUAGCGGUGAAAUGCGUAGAUAUCUGGAGGAACACCGGUGGCGAAGGCGGCUUCCUGGACCGACACUGACGCUGAGGCGCGAAAGCCAGGGGAGCAAACGGG
rnacentral:rRNA from 1 species